AUUCGCAAAUUUCCGCAAGAAAGAAAGCGCGAAACGUAGGGACGGAAUGAUGCGACAUAAUGGAUCGCGUACGGUGACAUGCGCCAGGCAGAGGCGUCGCGGACGUCCAUGAUCAAAGGCCAGCCCGAAUGGGAAAUUAUAAUUAAUUAAGGUAAUUGGAAAUUAGCGACCGAUCUUCCCGGUACUAAUGGUGCGCCCUACUCUCCUCUUAAUUGAGUUAGCAGCCGCUUUUGAGGAGUCAUGGUAUCGCUGAUAGCUGGUCCUAAUCGUAUUCCUACUAGGGACUCGAUAGAAAAGGGGAGGGGGGGUUAAUAGAAUCGUCUAUGUCGUCAUCGAUAAGUCUAUCGUUUUCCAAGUCGUUGUGUACGUUGCUUGCAAGAGUUAUUAUUAGAAAGUUUGUAAAAGAAUAGCGAAUUAAGUAGAAACAUGUUUGAUUUAUGGUAAACAUUGCACGUGAUAAGCUUGAACGAAAUAAUCAAAUGAAAUUUGAACAGUUUACAAAGAUGCUUUCACGGAUAAGAAGCGCAGAGUGAAAUCUAAAUCUCAGGGUCAUUUUCCACGAGGUAAGGAAAUCUCCAGACAUUUGCAAGGUCGACGGCAAAUCCGAUGACAGAGAGAAGGAAAUCGACUUUGCCGGACCAUGUUUCCCU